AUUGAACGCUGGCGGCAGGCCUAACACAUGCAAGUCGAGCGGAUGAAGGGGGCUUGCUCCUGGAUGCAGCGGCGGACGGGGGAGUAAUGCCUAGGAAUCUGCCUGGUAGGGGGGGAUAACGUCCGGAAACGGGCGCUAAUACCGCAUACGUGCUGAGGGAGAAGGUGGGGGUGCUUCGGACCGCACGCUAUCAGAUGAGCCUAGGUUGGAUUAGCUAGUUGGUUGGGUAACUGCUUGCCAAGGCGACGAUCCGUAACUGGUCUGAGAGGAUGAUGAACCACCAUGGAACUGAGACACGGUGCAGCCUCCUAAGGGAGGCAGCAGUGGCGAAUAUUAGACAAUGGGAGAAAGGCUGAUUGAGCGAUGCCGCGUGUGUGCAGCAGGUCUUCGGAUUGUACAGCACUCGAAGUGGGGAGCAAGGGCAGUAAGUUAAUACCUUGCUGGCUUGACGUUACCUACAGAAUAAGCACCGGCUAACUUCGUG
rnacentral:rRNA from 1 species